UGGCAUGUGGAAAUGCCUUCUCCUCAUUCCUUUUGGAGUAGGAAUAUAUCCAUAACAUGCUAUAUUAAAAAAAGGAGUUUUCAGGGCUGCCAACCUUACAGUAGAGGUUGAGUGGUAGUAUAUUUUUCCUACAUUA
ensembl:snoRNA small nucleolar RNA U109